CCGCGAACGACGAACGUUUCGCACUAGCCGCUUAAUACCGGCUAGCUCUGCACCGGUUGGUUCAUGGGCCGGGUAACGCAAGUUACAGCAGAGUCAUUUACAUGAGCUCGCGUGCCGCAGGGUCACUUUGCGGUGCGCUAAAAAAUAGGUGACUCGCCGUUUGUCAGCCUGCCGGUUGGCGGGCAACCGGUUAAAGCUAAUAACCUGGCUAAGUAUGUAGAUCUGGCUGUAGAGGGCUUGCGGACGGGGGUUCAAUUCCCCCCGCCUCCACCA
rnacentral:tmRNA from 1 species